rnacentral:rRNA from 1 species
CCUACGGGGGGCAGCAGUGAGGAAUAUUGGUCAAUGGACGAGAGUCUGAACCAGCCAAGUAGCGUGAAGGAUGACUGCCCUAUGGGUUGUAAACUUCUUUUAUAUGGGAAUAAAAUGUUCCACGUGUGGGAUUUUGUAUGUACCAUAUGAAUAAGGAUCGGCUAACUCCGUGCCAGCAGCCGCGGUAAUACGGAGGAUCCGAGCGUUAUCCGGAUUUAUUGGGUUUAAAGGGAGCGUAGGUGGAUUGUUAAGUCAGUUGUGAAAGUUUGCGGCUCAACCGUAAAAUUGCAGUUGAAACUGGCAGUCUGGAGUACAGUAGAGGUGGGCGGAAUUCGUGGUGUAGCGGUGAAAUGCUUAGAUAUCACGAAGAACCCCGAUUGCGAAGGCAGCUCACUGGACUGCAACUGACACUGAGGCUCGAAAGUGUGGGUAUCAAACAGGAUUAGAUACCCCAGUAGUC